GACAGAGGGUGCAAACGUUGUUCGGAAUUACUGGGCGUAAAGCGCGCGUAGGCAGCAGCGUGUGUCGGGCGUGAAAUCCCACGGCUCAACCGUGGAAGUGCACUCGAAACUGCAUAGCUAGAGUCCUGGAGAGGAAGGUGGAAUGCUUGGUGUAGAGGUGAAAUUCGUAGAUAUCAAGCGGAACACCGGUGGCGAAGGCGGCCUUCUGGACAGUGACUGACGCUGAGACGCGAAAGCGUGGGGAGCAAACAGG
rnacentral:rRNA from 1 species